rnacentral:rRNA from 1 species
UACGUAGGGUGCAAGCGUUGCCCGGAUUUAUUGGGCGUAAAGGGCGCGUAGGCGGGUGCUCAAGUCUGUGGUGAAAUCCUCCGGCUCAACCGGAGAACUGCCAUGGAUACUGGGCGUCUCGAGUGUGGUAGGGGUAUGCGGAACUAUCGGUGGAGCGGUGAAAUGCGUUGAUAUCGAUAGGAACUCCGGUGGCGAAGGCGGCGAUACUGGACCACCACUGACGCUGAUGCGCGAAAGCCAGGGGAGCAAACGGG